UGGAUUUUUAAGACAGUUGGUUCCUCUCUUUACUUCUUAAAACUAUUAAAUGUCUUUCCUUUAUUUCAGUGAAAUGGUUCUCAAUCCAGGCCGCACUUUUGAGUCCCCUCAGGGUAAUGUUAGGAAAGUAAUAAUGCCCAGGCUGCACCCAUGGAAGGCUCUGACUCCAAUGGUCCGGGCAAGGGUUUAUUUGUAAAAGUUUAUCAGGUGACUUUGGGUUGAGAGCCAGGAACGGAGCCCCUUUGUGACAGACAGACGAGCCUAGAGAAGCAUGGACUGGAGCACACACUACCCUGUUGCCCCAGCGCAGGACUGCUGCAGGGCUGUGUGAGGGGGGGUAUCGGCCGCCUCUGCCUCUCAGCCUCUGUGCAGAUGUGGCCUCUGCCCACCUAAGGUCUAGGCUUUCCUCCCACAGUGUACAACUGUCGCUGGGGAGUGGCCAGUCGGCUGGCGCCACUUUCCCAAGCCUUCCUUAUGUAAUGACGGGGCCACGUGGUUGCUUCUGGAUGGUGACCAGAGGUGGUUAUGAAGCGGGCAAGCUUUCCUAAUCUUCUUGUGUCCCUUCUGCUGGCUUGCUGAACAUGAAUGCUACUAUUUUGGAAGAUGGUGUAGACAUAGGAGAAAAAAAAGAUCUGUGUCCUUGAAUUAUUGCCUCAAAGAGAGCUGCAUGACCAAGAAUACCCAGAUUAUGGAAGCAAGAACUAGCAUUUUAAUGUGGAAAGGCACAGAGGCACCUGGGUGGCUCAGUUGGUUGAGCAUCCGACUUUGGCUCAGGUCAUGAUCUCGUGGUUCAUGAGUUCGAGCCCCGCAUCAAGCUCGCUGCUGUCUGCCUCUCAGCACAGAGCCUGCUUCGGAUCCUCUGUCCCCCUCUCUCUGCCCCUCCCCUGCUUGCACUCUCCCAAAACUAAAUAAAUAUUUUUUAAAAAAUGUGGAAAGGCACAGAAAUGUUGUGACUUGUUUAUUAUAGCAACUAAUACUACUAAGCCAAUGGUUUUCCCCUUCUGCCUGAUAGUAUCCUAUUAUUCUUUGGGGAACAACUUCUUUUCACUCCUUCAGGGCUCGGUAAGUGUCUAUUCCUGUGCUCUGCCCCCCUUCCUCCCCAAUUUGGCCCACAAGGUGGGGGCACGAAUCAGGUGCGUCAAGUUCUCCAUUUUUGGGUGCAGAAUCAGUUCAGGGAUGGUUUCAUGACUCAAACUGGGUCAGUGAGAAUCUUUCUAAGCCUCAGCAUACGGACAGUGGGAAAAGUGGUUUUUCCUCUUCUUCGGACUCCUGUUUGGGAAAGCCUGUAAGGUGGUGGCACCUUGCCCUCUACAGUGGAACAAGCUGGUUGUAGAACUAAGACAGUGAGUGAGGCAGGGAGAGACAAGCCAUGGAGACAGAGGCAGAGCUCCGUUGUCACUGUCAUGUCACUGUCGUGUUUCUGAACCUGGUGGUGCCUGAAGCCAGUGCCUGGGUUUACUGCUUCUAUGAACUAAAAAUUCAUUAAAAUUACUGUAUGUAACUUUCAUUUCGUUACUUAUUCUGCCUAGGCAAGUUGAGUAGGACAGUUGUCGUGAGCUGACGCUCUGCUCUGUGUCAGUUCUGGCUCCGCUCUGCUCUCCGGACUUGGGGGACACAGUUCUCACUCGCUCACUGGCUGUGCCAUGUGAGCCACCAAGAGGCAGCUCAGAACCAACGUACUCUAAGGAAAGCUCCGAGUUCUGCCCACUCCCAAGUGCUCUCAUUUCUAAGCCCUUCCCCCCUCACUAAGUGGUAACACCUGAUGGCUUGAAGCCAGACCCUUACUCUUAAUCUUCUCCAUCUUGUUGUCCAGUUUCUCAGAAAGUCUUGUGCUUUCUUCUUCCUUCUCAUGUCUCUUCUCUCUCCCCAGCGUUUUCUCCAAGAGCUUCCCAAGGGGGUUCUCCGAUUCCACUCUUGCACCCCUGUAACUUAUUCCCACGUAGCAGCUAGAAUAAUCCCAGAAGUACACGUUCUUCUGUUGAAAACUGAAAUGUCGUUCCUUCGCUCUUAGAAUGAAGUCCAAAAUUCUUCCUAAGACCUUCGAGGCUUUGUAUGGUCAGGCUCUUCCCUGGUUUUGAAGCUUACCUCUCAUCCCUCUCCCGCCCACUCCCUGCACUUGGGGUGCCGGGUUCACCAUUUCCCAGACCCCUCUCAGUUCUUCUGGGCCUUUGGGACUUUGUGCCUGCUGUUCCCACCACAGGGAAGUUAUUCCUCUCUUUUCCAACAGGGCCAUACUUCCUCAGACAGGCCUCCAACCAUCCUAUUUAAACGUGUUUCCUUCCCAGGAGAGUCUGUGAUUGUCUAUUUUUUUUACUUGUUUGUUACUUGCCUCUCCCCAUUAGAACCUAAGCUUCAAGAAGGCAGGGGUCUUGUGUGCUAAUAGUAGCUGAAUCGCUGGGCCCCGUGUCUAGCACAUAGUUGGUGCUCAAUAAAUAACUCCCUUAUCAUGUGACAGGCCCUGAGGGGGUCCUCACAAUGCAGCUUGAAACCCCCCAGACUAGAAAUUCUCUGUGGUCCCUGUUGGUUUGUGAUCCUCAUGAACUAAGUGCAAAGCAAAUAUAAUAUCUUGAUUAAUAUUCAUUUAGGUUGGUGUGAUAUUUUAUUUAUAUAUGCUUUAUUUUAUUCUUAUUUUUAAAGAAAUGUUCCUAUUUUAUUUUGUUUUAUUUUUUUAAGUUUAUUUACUUUGAGAGAGAGAGAGAGAGAGAGCACUAGCUUGAGAGGGGGAGGGGUCGAGAGAGGGGAGAGAGAGGAAUCCCAAGCAGGCUCUGCACUGUCAGUGCAGAGUCUGAUGUGGGGCCUGAACCCAUGAAUCGUGAGAUCAUGACAUGAGCUGGAGUCAGACACUUAACAGAUUGAGCCACCCAGGCACCCCAGAAAUGUCCCUAUAUUAAACCUUUCUUACAUUCUUUUUAAAAAGUUUGUUUACAUAUUGAAGUAAUCUCUACACCCAACGUGGGGCUCAAACUUAUGACCCUGAGAUCAAGAGUUGUAUGCUCUUCCCACUAGGCCAGCCAGGUGUCCUUAUUUUAUUUUAUUUUAUUUUAUUUUAUUUUAUUUUACUUUAUUUUAAACUGAAGUAUAGUUGACAUAGAACAUUAUGUUGGUUUCAGGUGUACAACAUCAUGAUUCGACAGUUACGUGCAUUGUGACGUGCUCUCCAUGAUAAGUGUAGUUACCACCUGUCACCAUACAAAAUGCUAUGAUAUUGACUAUACUCCCGAUGCGGUACUUAUCAUCCCCAUGAUUUAUUUUAUAACCGGAAGUUUUUACCUCUUCUUCCAUUUCACCUAUUUUGCAUAUCCUCCACCCCCUCCCAUCUCUUCCUCUUCUUGUAAGGGUCCAAUCCUAUCCAAUUAGGGUGCUAUUCUUAUGCUUAUGACCUCAUUCUUAUGCUUAUGACCUCGUUUAACCUCAGUUACCUUCUAAAGACCCUAUCUCCCGGACACAGUCACACUGAGGGUUAGGACUCCAACAGAGGAACUUUGAGGGGAACAUAGUUCAGUCCACAGCAGUCUAACUCUUGUUCUGUCCAGCUCCCUUCUUAACCUGGGAAUCUGCAUCCACCUGGCCCCUGUCUGUUGGCCGACUCCCAUCACAGAUUAUUGGAAGUCCUGUGUCCAAUGAGGAAAAUGCAGAAAACUGUAAGUCAGAAGUUCAUGAACUCACUAUCUAGUUAUUCUUGCUGCUGGUUCUGUUCCAGUCUUGAGGUUGGAUUGUCCUGCAUGGUUGCUGCUUAGAUACUAGAUGUUUUAGAUUCAACUUAGACCCUUGGCUAGAGUAGUCAUGUCUUCCCUUUAAAAUUCUUGGUGGGUUCAUCAUUCACUUUCAAACCUGAAUAUGCCUUUGUGACUUCCAGAAGUAAUUAAAAUUAGAUAGUGUGCUUAUGCCUAGAACCUCAGCCUUCAUCCUUCCCAUGAGUCUGUGUGGAUUCUGGUUCUAGUUCUCCUGUUCAGCCCAUCCUGCUCUACCUGAACUUGAUGGGCCAUCUCUUUCCCUCCUUCUCUCUCUGUCUCUCCCCCCACCUCUCCCCACCCACUGCUAGACCCUCCUUAACUCCCGCAGUCUCCCAUGUGGGCACAGCCUGAAGUAUCCUUUCUCUCUGGGAGCCACACACAUAUUUUCUAUAUCCAUACAAGAGCACACACUGACUUGACACUCCCUCUCUCAGCCUCUUCUCUGCCUUCCUCGCUCACCCUGCUCUCCAUGCCCUCUGCUUGCCCUCUAGCAACUGAACUCUGGCACAGUUUCCCAAGCCUGUCGAUAAUGCUCCAUCUGUCCUCCUGGUCUUUGCACAAAUGUCCCUCCGAGUCUCCAGACCAGGUCAUGUUUGCUCCCAAAGGACUGGCCAAACAUCAGCUCUUUCUGGGAGUCACUGUGCUCCUCACCCUUCACGUCCUGCACUUCAGGGUUGCUUCUUGUUCAUCCAACUCACAGAGCCCUCUCCUUAUGUUAAUUGAUUGAUUAACUGAACCAAUAUAUAAAGAAGCGAAUACAUUUGCUGCUGGAUCAAUUUGCCAGCUUAGAGACAAAGGAGGUUUUUGCUUUACCAAAUAUUCAAAUAUUAUGAAAUUCCCUUGUGGGCUGAAUCUCUCUCCUACACACAGGAAGCAGCACAUGGAAAGAAAAGGAAACCGGGUGAAGAGUAGAGGUUAGCGAGGGUACCGAGAACGUGGGCAGAGGGCAGGGGGUGAGGGUCGGUGCCCUGUCCAGGGCAGCCUGGAGGGGAGUGAGCUUGGGACUCGUGUGAGAAACAGGUCAUUUCAGUGUUGUUGAUGAGCUGGUUCUACCCUCCCUGGGCAGGUAGAUUCCUCUGGUGACAGAGGAUAGACUCUACUGCAGUCACAGCUAAUAUAUACAUUUUCAGUGGGGGUGGGGGUGGGGGUGUGACAGGGAGAGGAUAUCACAAAUACUUGUUCUUGGGAGGCAAAAAAGCCUUAGAUAUUGCAAUGGUCUAUGGCCCUCCAAACGGCCUCAGUCCACGAAGAGAUGUAUAGUAUAUCUGUGGUAUUAAAGCUUUAUGCAAGGGGGCGAUUAGGAACAAAAUGCCUAAAAUGGCUUCUGGGGAGAAGGAUGGUGAUGAUAAGAAGGUUGGGAAAAACUGGGCUGACAGAUGGCCUUAAAGCCAAGGAAGGGGUUCUGGCCAGACAUACCCUGGAAAAUGGUGAAGUUCCUGCAUGUCCCAGAGGUGCCCAGUCGAGGGGUGAGCAGGGCUGAGGUCAGCUACUCUGUGGUGCAGUGCUGAGCCUUGUCCGCCCACAGGGGGCUCAUACAUUUGUACAUGGCAACCUCUGUGCUCCUGGAGGCCCUCGAUCUGGCAGUCCUGCCUGCUCAUGCUCGAGCCUGACAUGACAGUGUUGGAAGGUUCAGACUAAAAUAAGAGUUGAAGUUAUGGGUAGGUCACCUGGGCAGAGAUUUGAUCGUAGAGAGCACUGCACCAUCACUAGGGUGAAGCGGGAAUGCAGGUCAUUUUAAGGACAGGCAUGUCCUUCUACAACGAGACAUGUUGGUUCUGCUCCCCGAGUGGAAAGUGCCCUGGAGCAAGGUGGUGUGGGAGUGGAGCACGAAGCCCAGAAACACCGGCCAUCCCCGUACUUUUGUGACGUGGGGGUGCUCUAGAGGCUCUAGAGGUUAUCAGCUGAAAGUCAAGGCUAGCAGAAAUGCUGAUGCACUUGUUCUGUUACCAGGAACCGGUUAUACUAUCCUAAGUCAGAACCCUUUUGUUUGCCUUUUGGAAUCCUCUAAUCCUGAAAGUCCCAAAGGAAAACCAGAGAGAGAAAAAGAACUGCAGAAAAGUGGGAAAAUUGCCAAUUUAUUUUUCCCCCAAAACGUUGACUCUGGGUUGGCCUGUGGCAAUGCAUUAGUAAUGAGUCUGUUUAUAUAUAUACACUUUCACUGAUACAAAAUCAAUACAUAAGUGUGAAACAAACAUUUAAAGGCAAUCUGUUUGGCAGUGCUGAGUGCCCGGGGAUGGUUGUGAUUUUGUGUCAUACAUUACAGGUUGGUGAAGGCGUCGGCAUCCCUCUCCUUGAAAUAGGGGGCUGUCUGGGGUGGUUGGGGGCCGUGACAGGGCACAGGUGAGGUCAGGGCUGUGGGCUCUGCUUCAUCCCACACCCACAUCAAGCCACACCAAGGGCUAUCCGGUGACAUGUGUGGGUACACUGGCCCGGGCCCCCUCGCUGACUAGGAAACAUCUCCAACUCUCGGCUGUCGUGAGGGUGGGUCGUUCUCAUUUUCACAUGAGACCGGCAUGCUCCGUGCCACAGACUGAUGGAGCUUCUUCGCUGUUUUCUACAAAUGGAAGAGUUGGAUUGUUUCUUUUCGUGGGGGAAAGCUGUUCGGUUCUGUGGGUGAGGAGGAAGGCCGUCUCCCCUAGUUUCACCCAACCAGGUGUGCUGCCAGGCCUGUCGUUAACAUCUUGAGCUUAGUCUCACUACCAUCUGACAGGGCCGAGCAGCAUGGUGGCCACAGUGACAAACACGGAGAGGGCAGGCCUGGACACGCGGGCCAGAGCGUGGCAGGAAGAGAGGCACGCAUGGCGUCCAGGUUCCAAAGAGGCAACGGGGAUGAGCAAGUAGCAGCUUUGGGAACAAUGACAGAGUGGGUUUGCAUUUCAUCCUCUCCUGUGUGACCCCAUCCUGGCCCUGUCUCCUUCCUUAGCGCAGCGACGUAACCAGUCGCCUGUAGUUUGGAGCCUGGGCAGAAAGUCUAGAUCUCCCAGGGAAUGCAAUGGUGCAGACUCACUGGACUGUCAUCACUCCCCGCUCCCCAAUACGAUUUCUGGGUCCUAAGAUAAAACCAUUUUCAAUUUUAUUAGAUAGUGAGUGCCAGCUUGCUCUCCAAAGCAAUCGUCUCCUACUCUGGAUACAUUCAUCUUAAUUUUUUGCUAUUUUUACGGGUAAAAAGUGCUGUCUCUAACUUGAUUUGGACUCUUCUGAUCACCAGUGGGAUUGAGCACUUUUUUUUUCUUUCUCCCAAUUAAUUUAUUGGCUGUUUGGAUUCCUUUCUCUGAGAACCGCAUGGGCCUUGCCUUUGCGUGUUUUUGGGGCGUGUGGUUUUCUUAGAUUUGUAAGUUUUUAAAAAGUAUCGUAUUUGGAAAUUAAUCCUUAGUUCGUUCUAUGUAGGGCAAAGACUUUCUCCAGUCCGUGACUUCUCUCUUAAUUCUGUUUGUGGCAUCUCCUGAAAAACUGAAGUUUUAAUUUGACAGAGUCAGACAUUCUCCUUUCUCGUUCAUGCUUUCUGUGUCACGUUUAGGAGAACCUUACUACUGUGAAGUCAUAAAUAUAUUCUUAUACUUUUUCCUAAUAAUUUUAAGACAUUUUGCUUCUUUCCACAUUUGAAUCUUUGAUCAAUCUGAUGUUGAUUUUGGAGGUAUGCAUCACAUUUAACUUUUUUUUUUAUUGAAGUAUAAUUAACAUACGGUGUGAUAUUAGUGUCAGGUAUAUAAUACAGUGAUUCAACAAUUCUAUGCAUGACUCAGUUCUUAUCACAGUAAGUGUGCUAAUUUAACUUUUUAAUAUUGAUAGUCAACUGCUCUAAGACUCUUUACUGGGUGGUUCAUCAGUUCUCCACUGGUUGAUAUUGCUAUCCUGUCAUCCACCAAGUUUCCAGAUAUAAACAGAUCAAUUUCUGGGCUCUCUUUCUGAUUCGUUGAACCUUGUAUCAAUUCUUGCACCAACCGUAAACUUCUUAGAACAGUUCUAUUGAGGUAGAAUUAACAUACAAGACACUGCAUGUAUUUAGUUUUUCAUUUCAUAGUUCUCUCUAUUUAUAGGUUCUAGCUUCCUUUUUUUUUUUUUGCAUUGAUUUAGUAUUUCUUUCUUUAUUUCCUUGUUUAUUUGAAUAUAGUGAACACAUAACGUUACGUUAGUUUCAGGUGCAUGGCAUAGUGGUUCAACAAGUUUAUACGUGAUGCUCAGCUCACCAUCUGUCACUUUACAUUGCUAUUACAAUGCCAUUGGCUAUAUCACCCAUGCUGUGUCUUUUAUUCCUGUGACUUUUUCAUUCCAUAACUGGAAGCCUGUAUCUUCCACUCCCCUUCACCCACUGUGCCCAUCCCCCACCCUCUCUCCUUUGGCAACCAUCGGUUUGUUCUCUGUAGCUACAGGUUCUAGCUUCUCGACCUGAAAUUUAUUUCAUUAAUUCUUGCAUUUUUUAAAAAUUUGCUUCCUGUUUUAGCUGUAUCCAAUAAAUGUUGAUAUGUAGUUCUUCUGUCGCUUGUUCUAAGUAUUUUGGAACUUUCAUGUGAGUUUUUCCUUAACCUUAACCCAUGAAUUUUUACAGAAAUCUGCCUUUUAAUUUCCAAGGAUAUUUUUAAUUUUUUCAAUGAAAAAAUGUACUAUUUCCAAUUGUAUUGCACUGUGAUCACAGAUCCUGGUUUUCAUGAUACGAAUAUUUUGGAGUGUGUUGAGAAUUGCUUUGUUUUCAUAAAAGAUUGUAUAUUAUCUGUUUACUGGGAUGAAGAUCAAGCUGCUUGAUUGCAUUGCUUUAAUCCCUUGUGCUCUUAUUAUACUUGAUGUAACAGUUUCUGAUGGCUAUGUGUUAAAAAAAACCCUCAUUAUAAUGGUGGAUUUGUCAAUUUCUCCUUUUUUUUAAAGUUUAUUUUGAGAGAGAGAGUGCACACGAGUGGGGGAGGGGUAGAGAGUCAGAGAGAGAGAGAAUCCCAAGCAGGCUCCAUGAGCGGGCUUGAACUCACGAACCAUGAGAUCAUGAUCUGAGCCGAAACCAAGAGUUGGAUGCUUAACUAACUGAACCACCCGGGCACGCCUGUCAACUUCUCCUUUUAAUUCUGAUAAUUUUGGUUUUUUUUUUUAACACAUAGCCAUCAGAAACUGUUACAUUAAGUAUAAUAAGAGCACAAAAGCACAUAUAUUUGAAGGGAAUUUUGUUAGGUAAAGCCAAUUAAUGAUUUUUACAUCUUACUGGUUGUUUAUCCCUUUUAUUAUUAAGUAAUCUCUGCCUUUCUCUUCAUUCAUAUUUUUUUCUUUAAUUUUAUUUGACCAAAUUAAUAUUGCUAAACUGGCAAUAUUCAACUUUUCAAUGCCAAACUUUCAAGUGAAAGACUAGAUAGUCAAAACAUAAAGAAAUAAAUCUGAGAGUUUGUCUUUUAAUUGGUGAGUCAAAUACACUUAUAUUUAUUAUAGUUACUCUAUAUUUGGACUUCUUUCUAUCAUUUCAUUUUAUAUCCACCAUGUUUCUCUUUGGUUCUCAUUUUUUCUUUACCACAUUCUGUUGAAGUAGAGAUGUUUUUUUCUUUUUUUCCUUUCUUCUCUCUCUCUCUCUCUUUUAACAUUUUCUGUCUUGUUCCUUUACUGAUCUGGAAAUUAUUUAUUUGGUUUCUAUUUACAUAUAUAUAUAUAUUUUUCUAAUUUUAAUAUUUCUAACAAUAUCUAAAGCUAAUAACUGUCUCUUUCCUACUCUUGAAAAGACAGUGACCUUAGAAUGCUUUGAAUUCUCUUUAAAUUCACUUUAAAUUCUCCUGUUUUGGAAUAGAGAUAGAUAGGAAUUUGAUGGUAAUUAAACAUGAACAAAAACAAGGUGAAAUUUUACUCUUAUGUGUGAGAGCCGAUGAAGAAAUGUUAUGGGCUUAGCACUGUUAACUGUGUGACACAGAGUGAGUUACUUAAUCCUGUGAUUCCAUUUCUUCAUCUGUAAAUAGUUUUAAUACCUACUUGUUAGGGUGUUGGGGAUUUGAUGAGUUGGUGAAUGUAAUAUACUUAGAACAGUGCCUGGAAUAUAAUAAGUGCUGUUUACGAGUUUGCUAAUUUUUACCAGACGUUACCUGGAUGUCAAGUGGUAAGAAUACCUGAAAUAAAAAUCUAUUGAGGAUCCAAAUGAUAUGGCCAAUAGCAAUAUUUUAAUAUGUAAAAGAGGAAUGAAAAAUGUAUCACCUAUCUUGACAAGUAGAAGAAAACAUCUGAAAGCAAUCAAAGGAGAGUUAAUAAAGAACAAUUAAGUGUAUUAACUGUGAACAAUAGUCCAAUCAAAUGUGCCCUUAGGAAAACUGGCUUUGGGCAGGAGGUUCCUGGAGAGAAAAGGAGGGAUGGUGAGUAAGAAGGGCAGUGGUGAAUAGAAGAGGCUCCAUGUGUAAAUCAAUGUGUUCUUAUGGAACAUGAGUCAACAAUAUGAUCUAAAUAGUGUAAAAGGCAAAACCACUUUUGGGUGUGGUAACAAACCCAGGCUGAAUAGUGGGACAUACUUCAUUACUCCAUUUCCUUUGGCUCUUGCUGGGCCCUCGGCAGACUUUUUUUUUUUUUUUUUUUAACGUUUCUGAAAAUCACAUGUUGCAGAAUGUGGAGAGGAGGGCAGGGAUCCUGAUCUGGAGUUUGGAGAGCAAGAGGGAUAGGGAAAGCUUAUGAUAAGCACCAGCUUGAUGCUGACAGUGCCUUGUGGCUUGUGCUUGGAAGAGAGAGGCUUCGAUUAUUCUGGUUAGUCAAGAAGAGUGGGGUCAGAAAUCGCAGUGUGAUGCUGCCAGCGGGGGCAACAGACGCUGAAUGAGGGACUAACCUAACCACAGAACGGAUCCGUCAGUGGGACAGGCGACCACCAGGGUCUAGGAAUGAUGCCAGGAACAUGAUGGGCUCAGACAACUGCCUUUCAGGCUGACUUUGGCGUAAACACGAGCUCCAAGCUGCCCUGAGAAAACACGGUGGUCAGCUAAGCCCGGCGAGUGUGCCUGUCCUCUGGAAUUCUCCGGGUACAGACUCGGCCAGUCUCCGCACCCAGGACUGCACGAGGAGCACAAAACCUUGUCUGUGAUUAAAACCACACUCAGGAGUGGCUCAUUCAGGCACCCCGGGCCUGCCUUAUGCUGACUGAUGGUGAUAAUUCUAUUUCCCAUGAUUUCUCGAGUGUGCUUUUCAUCUGUAUUCAUUCUAUGAUUUUCAUGAGAAAGCCAUAAAGGGGUCCUUUCCACUACCAUUGACACACGUGAUCUUCACCAACUGGGAGGAAACAGGAAAAGGUAGUGCGGGGCCAGAAAAGAAAUUGAUGUUGAUCUGUGAAAGGGGCUUGUCACACUGGCCAGUGUCUGUCCUGCAGUCAGAUGGAAUGCCACUUCUCUGAGUUGCCUUCCCGGACCUCUCACUGGAGUAGACUCUUCCCCCACCCACCCUUCAGGUGACACCUUUGUUGGGUAGACCCGCAGUGAUCUAUUUGCUUACUUAUUCAUUGUCUGCCUCCCUCAUUUCAUGUAAGAUCCUCUGAGCUGGGUGCUGGUCCUGUGUUUUUAACAGCGAUGUCACCCAAUACUUAGAAGUGUGUCUUUCAUGUAAUAAUGAUAAUUACUAUUUUUGGACCAACAAGAGGCAGCUCUGUAAGGUUGGAUUGUUUUGAAUGGCUAGCCACUUGCAUCCUUUUAGGAAACAUGUCUCUCUGAAUCUCUGUGAAGUAAGGGUACAGGUAGGAAAGGUCAAGGGUAAACAUGGAUAGGAUUAUUACUUAGGACGUUCUGGUUUGGCAGGUUCAUCAAAAUGCCUAGAAAAGCCUGGAUUUUUGCUUUGAGUGGCCAAAGAUGUACCUACAAGAGCAGGAACAUCUGAUGGGAUAAAAAGCUGAUUGGAGCAAAAAGCUGAAGUUAGAGACACAAAUGUUCUCUCUCACCUUCUUUCAUAGGUGAUCAGAUGCCAGUUUGCCUGGGACAGUCCUGGCUUAUACCUGCUGUCCUGGCACAAUUCUGAUAGUGCUCAUUUACAACCUCAGAGGUUUCCUGAUUUGGGUGAUAAGUCAUAUGGCCAUGUUGUCUGUAAGAUUCAGUCCACCCCUUCCAACACCCAGCCAGCCUGGGGCCACAGUGUAUGUGGAACUGCAGAUGGUAUGUGCUAGAAGGGAUAGGAACUUGUGAUUUUGGAGUUCAUAAAUUAUGGAGGAGAAUCACACAUAUUUCUUGACACUCAUAAUAUGAUUCUCUUAAGAUUCUGCCAGUCAAAUGCUCUUUGUGCUUUUAAGUUUUCAUGACUUCAGAACAUUUGGGGCCAUAGCUACAGGGGUGAUAGGUCUUGGUGUCGUUAUAGUCAGGCAACGCAUGCUACAUGAUCUUAAGACAACAUGGCUGGGUCACAAUGUCUUCCCAGGAUAAAACUUCCUCAAUUUUGGGGGCACCUGGGUGGCUCAGUCAGCUAAGUGUCUGAUUCUUGAUUUUGGCUCAGGUCACGAUCAUACCGUUCAUGGGUUUGAGCCCCCUGCUUGGGAUUCUCUCUCUCUCUCUCUCUCUCUCUCUCUCUCUCUCAAUAAAUAAAUAAACUUAAAAAAAAACCCACAAAAAAACCCAAUAAAAACAUACAUAAAACUUAGUCAAUUUAUUUACAGCUCUGAACUCUUUAGAACCCGGGAAAGCCUGUUCUUAGGGAGCCCUUCGGGGAACAGGGAGAUAGGUCCUCAUAAUUGUGCCUCCCUUUAAUCUUAAUCCAAGCUUCUAAACACCUAUCCCUUUCAUCUUGAAGAGGAGUCUUUUCCCAGGAGGCUUUUGAUCCUUCAAGCAAAGAGACACCUGAAAGAAUGCCCAGCCCAUGCCCAGAUAUGUCAGAAUACCCGGGUCCACAGAUGGGACACCAAUAAAGUCUGCUAACACAAGCAGCUGUCUGACAUAUUUGGCCACUUUUAAGUGGUUGAUCAUUAAUGUAUGCACUUAAAGGUUGGGGAAGGUCACUGAGUGGUUCCAACAGAAGAACAUAUCACCCCAUUACACCAAAGUGGUAAGAAGAUUAAUUUCCCAAACCAGAGUAGGUGAUGUGGCCAAGAGGAGAGGGCCACAUGCUUGCUAGAUCUGAAUGCCCCGAUUACUUCUUCUGGGAUAUUAUGUUAAAAGUGCGGGUUUAGUCAGUGAAAAUCAGAGACACAGAUCAUCUGAAGCAACGCAUCAGUGAUGCAGGCACAGGAGCUGGACGAAAUGCUGCCCUAAUGCACUUUGUCCGUUGCAAUUUGUCUGUGAAUUGCAUUAAGAGAAACGACACUGAAUAUAACACAUGAUGCCACUUCAUGUGUGGUGUAUUGUAAUGUAAUAUCAAUAAGUUACUUGCCAUGUUAAUUUGCCUGUGUAUCCAGACCUUAGGGUGACCUGACAGCUCAAGAUAGCAGAUGCUCUGAUUUUUCCACUUUCCAUGGUCUUUAUCACCAUUGUUUAAAAUGUUUGCAUAGUAAUCUAUUGGGUUGGUAUCCCAUAAUUUAAAUAUUCUUCUACUUUUGUAUGUUUAGAUUGUUUUGGGUUUUUUUCUAUCGCAAAUACUAUAGAAGCUGGAAGUAUGCAUGCAUGUUUUCCGAUGUUUUAGAUUAGUUACUUAAGAUGAGUAUUUGCAAAGAGGGGAAAGAUUAAAGACAGCAGGAAGCAGAGGGUCUGAAGAGCAGUGACUUGGCUAAGACAUCUCUUUGUCUGUACAGCAUUUCUCAUGCUCUUAUGUCAUCUGUCUACACAGGUUGGUGAAGAACUUGACAAUCUGAUGAUUGAUUACUUUGUGGACCUUGAAUGGAAACACUGCACCCCUAUUAUAUCAGGGGGAGGAAGUGAAGUGAGGAAAAACCUCUUGUCUAGAUACAAUAUUGCUUUUUGUACAACACAGUAUGAAAUACAUGUAUUUUUGAAACUUUAAAAAAAUGUUUAUUUAUUUUUGAGAGAGAGAGAGAGAGAGAGAGAGCAAGCAAGCACGAGCCAGGGAGGGGCAUAGAGAGACGGGGACAGAGGAUCCAUGCUGACAGCAGCAAGCCUGAUGUGGGGCUUGAACUCAUGAAGCAGGAGAUUGUGACCUGAGCUGAAGUCGGAUGCUUAACAAAGUGGGCCAUCCAGGAGCCCUGAAAUAUUUGCAUUUCUAUGUUACUUGUCUUGUUUCAAGCUUGUAUUUUUUUCUUUCCUUUGCAUUCUCUCAAAGCAGGUUGAUGGCCCAUGGGAGAAAUUAUUUCCUUGGGCAAACAGAUAGAAGACACUUGUACAAAAGGCAAAGAACACAUCUUUCAGAUGCCCUCCCUUGUUCUGUUGAAUGGCUUCAAAGAAGAGUUUACUGGGAGACCUGGGUGGCUCAGUCGGUUCAAAGUCUGACUUCAGUCCAAGUCAUGAUCUCAUGGUUCAUGGGUUCGGGCCCCACGUUGGGCUCUGUGCUGACGGCUCAGAACCUGGAGCCUGGAUUCUGUGUCUACCUCUUUCUGCCCCUCGCCUACUCAUGCUCUGUCUCUCUCAAAAGUAAAUAAAAGUAAAAAAAGAGAAGAGUUUACUGUUUUUAUUUUCUUUAUUAGGAAUUAAAAUAGGAGACUUUUGAUGAGGUCUUGUUUUAAAGAAGCUAUUUUCUUUGAGAAAAAAAGUGCUUCCCCUUUUGAUGCUUGAGAUUGAUGUGAUGAAAUUUAGGAAAAACUUAUAUGACAGUUGUUUGUGUUUCUUCUGGGUGAUUUGUUUAGAGUUAUGUGUACAUCUAAGAUGCUUUAGAGUCUUUAUAACUGAUUUCUCACUUUCAUAUGGGAGAUAUAACAGCAGAAUUAUGGAAUCUUGUAGCCUCUGGUUGCUGGAAUUGUCCACCUUUGUAGAAGCGUUAGAAAAUGCUGAGAGUGAUUUCAUGGGGGUUAGUUUGUUGUUGUUGUUGUUUACUUAUUUAUCUUUGAGAGAAAGAGGAUGGGGCAGGGGGUGGGGAGACAGAAUCCCAAGGAGGCUCUGUGAUACCAGUGCAGAACCCGACAUGGGGUUCAAAACCGUGAGCCGUGAGAUCAUGACCUGAGCCCAAAUUGAGUUGGAUUGCUUAACUGACUGAGCCACCCAGGUGCCCUGAUUUCAUGGAGUUUUAAAGUAGGGUGCCCAGGAAUGCUGGGUAAGGUCAGAGCGAACCCAAAGAGAGUGCCAACUGUGUGCCAGGCACACAGUACAGCUGUGUGCUGUACAACUGUCCACCCAUUUAAUUCUCAACCCUAGGGGGUAGGAACCGUCAUGUCCCCCUGUUUCACUCAGCAUCAGUAGAAGAAUUUGGACAAAUGGACCAAUAAACUUGAUUUUCUAGCUAAAUGCUUGAUCCACUGUAUUGUCCUUGGGGCCAUGAAGCUGUUCCCCACUUCCAGAAGGUGACCACUUUGUUGAGGCUUCUCUAGGGUCAGAAGUGGCUGCUGAUUGCCACUCCCAAAGAGGUGCAUUCUAAGAACAGAAGAAAAUCAUUGCCAAGGAGAAUGGUUAUUGGGCCUGGUUUUAGCAAUUUGCAAAGUCCAAUAAAAAAUAAAUCCCAAAGCAGUCAUAUGUUUCAAAUCUGAAUGUUAACAGCUGUGCUCUUAUUUCUUUGCUGACUAUAACUACAAUGCUAAGCCUUUUCUCUGUGUUUAGAAAAAGCUCUGCCUUCACCUUAAUGUUCUGGCCAUACCAGCCAACUGUCCUUUCCAAAUUUACCCCCAAUUCCUUAUUUCCUUCUUUAGAUAUUUAUUUCUUUUUAAGGAGAGAUCUCUACAGGGCUAAGGUUUUAAAACAGCAAAUUGUGCUAAAUUCUUAAUCCUCCUCUAACAUCUGUUUAUGUUUUUGGAAUAUAUAUAUAUAUAUAUAUAUAUAUAUAUAUAUAUUAGUAAUGUUUUUUAAGAAGUCUUUUUACCCCUGUCCAAAAAGGAACUCUAAGAACCAAUGUUUUCUUUAUUUCCUUCCUUUUUCUUCCUGCCUUCCUGCCUACCUGCCUUCUUUUUCUCUUUUGGGUUUUUUUUUAGAUUACUUUAAGGGGAAAUAAUCCCUUAAUGUGUAUCCAAGAACACUGAAAGAUGUUUGGACAUUUUCUAUUCCUUUCUGGCCUCUGAGUUCUGAGUCACUGAGUUUGUGUUUUUAAGUCAGCACCUAUGGGCAAAGUUCUCUUUCAAAACUAAACUAGUCCCCAUGAUUUAAAAUGCCAACCAACCAAUGAACCAAAAAAUCCACUCCCUAAAAAAAAAAAGGAUCAAACCAACCAAAACCCCCUCAAAUUUAACCAAAAACCUCUCCAAAAAAAUCAGGUCCUCAUUUUGGAUCAAAGCCAGGCAACAUUUUCCCCAAAUUCCUCCUGCUCUAUAGAGAGAGUACAUCUCUGAACAUGCCAAAUGGAAAUUCAGAUAUGAGCAACUCUUUUAAAAUUCUUAUCUUUUAAAUAUUCAUAAUUUUCCAGCUCUUUACUAUCAUAAAUUCUUUUCAUUAGAAAGCUCACCUUGGAAAGGGCGGAAGGGAGGAGCGAGUUCGGAAGGCGCUGCUUUCCUGGCUCCCUGCUUGCUCAGAAAGUGUCUGGUAAUGGGAUGGCAGGACACCCGGCUGUGGGUGCUAGAGGGUUCUUAGCUCCAAUCUGUGAGGACGGAGAUGUGUCCCUCCAAGUCUAUCAUCACCCAGGUUAGACAGGCCCCACUGAAGCCUCUCUGGUGGGUGGGAAUUCUUGGAGGCAGUGAUGCCUGAAUUUUCUAAGGAUGAGCCUAGGAUAGCCAUUAAGCUAGAAGGGCAUAGGGCUGGGGACCUAACUUACAGCUGCAUUUGCAUGGUGCUUUAUACAAUAUUGAGACGAUCUUUCCUUUAUUCAUCAGAGAAUGUAGAGAGGGCUACUGGCCAGGACUGUGGGGUGGGGUGAGGGAAGGAAGACCACUACUUUCAGCCCCUUCAUGGAGACCCCACCGAUGAGGAGCCUCUUGGGAUAGAGCUGUGACCAUGCUGGAGAUUGGGCAUAUUGACAGACUGCCAAUGGGAGAGGCUGGUGCACGUAUGUUUGCCUGAGUCUGCAGAAGGGGCAGGCAAGGCUGGAAACUUGGCAUCACGGGAGGGGAGAAGCACUUCCGGGUUUCAUCAUGCAUGCUGUGAUUUGUCUCAUUGGUUAAAUCUCUGGGUCCUGGAAGCUGUUUUACUAACAGUCCCUUAAGGAAUGGAGAACCAUGGAAUCUCUCCAGUAAUCUCGCCCACACGAACUCCAGUGGGUGGUGAAGCAUCCUGCUUCAUUUUGCCUCGGAACGAUUGGGGCACCGUGACAGCACAAAGGCAGCUGAGGUGGGGCUUUGCAGCAAAUAAAGGGACAUGGGCAUCACUUCCCAUACUGGUGUGAUUCUGUGCUUUGUUGCUUGUUUUUUAAGUGCUAUUGUGGCAGUCAGUGGCAUGAGUGGUGGACACCCAGUGGUACUCCCUUCCACUGAAUUUCUUUUUUUUUUUUUAAGUUUAUUUAUUUAUUUUGAGAGAGACAGAGACAGCACGAGUGGGGGAGGGGCAGAGAGAGAGGGAGAGAGGGAAUCCCAAGCAAGUUCUGUGCUGCCAGCACAGAGCCUGACCUGGGACUCGAGCCCACUAAACCGUGAGAUCAGGACCUGAGCUGAAACUCAAAGUCAGAUGCUUAACCGACUGAGCCACCCAGGUGCCCCCUCCACUGUUUCAGUAGCAUCUGUCCCAGUAGAUUCUCAGGGAGCCUCAAAGGUACCCUAGAGGUUGUCUUCUCGGCCUUGAGCCUCCUACACCCUGGUGGGGUGUUUUCUGCUGGCCAGUCCCAGCCCAUGUUACCCUGCCUUCCAACCUUUGGCCAGCCACUGUGGAUCAGUUCUGGCUCAGGUCCUCCUGGAGAAUUUCCCCACUACUCAGUGGGCUUCAAUCACACCUUUUCAAUGAGAUCUGAAUGCCAGCCUUAGAAAGGGGGGUGGGUGGUGAUCUCUUUUUCAAGUGUGUUCUUUCGUUGAGCAUUCUCCUUCAUCUCUUGGAUAUCCUCUAGAGUUCUUUUUAUCCCUUGACAGUCAGCUCCCUGUUAUGGUUAUAUAAUUCUUUAUAUUAAAGUCUCCCUGUUAAAAUUAUUGUGUGAUUUCUGUCUCCUAACUAGACCUAUUGAUACAAGAUGAUAGUAGGGAUAAUUGAUAGAAAUACUGAGUUUGUUCCCUUAUACAUUUUACUUCCUUCUUAUUUGAAGCCUCUGUCCUGGUCCCGACAGGUGCCAGCCCUCAGAAGCUGUGAGUUAGUUGCAUCAGCGGGACUGGGUCCUAAGUAGCUGACCCCCAGGUUCACUGAAGAUUUCCAUACUUGACGAAAUGACUGGAGAGAAUGGAUGAGAAUUGAUGAUAUAACACUAGCUUUGCAUGUGGGUGAGGGGAACCCAGAGAAAAACAGCUUGAAUUUCUUGUCCAUAGGGAUGGGACCUCAGAAUCAGAAUGAAGUUGAAAGAAAAUAAACGUGAGACUCCCAGUGAAUCUGCUUUAUGAUAGUUACAGUUUUUAUGUCAAAUCACUGACAAAUACAUAAAUAUAAAAGCUGGCAUGGAUUUGGCAAUGCUUCUACAAACUUGUAUUUUAUUAUUUAUAAAGCAUUUAAAAACACUUGAAAAAGUGGUACAUGGUAUCAAUUUAUUUACUUAAAAAUUUUUUUAAAACGUUUAUUUAUUAUUGAGAGACAGAGAGACACAGAGCAUGAGCAGGGGAGGGGCUGAGAGAUGGGGAGACACAGACUCGAAAGCAGGCUCCAGACUCUGAGUUGUCAGCACAGAGCCCAAUGUGGGGCUCGAACUCACAAACAGCGAGAUCAUGACCUGAGCCAAAGUCGGACGCUUAGCCUAUUGAGCCACCCAGGUGCCCCUCAAUUUAUUUACUUUUAU